rnacentral:rRNA from 1 species
GUUUGAUCCUGGCUCAGAUUGAACGCUGGCGGCAUGCCUUACACAUGCAAGUCGAACGGCAGCACGGGAGCAAUCCUGGUGGCGAGUGGCGAACGGGUGAGUAAUAUAUCGGAACGUGCCCAGUAGUGGGGGAUAACUGCUCGAAAGAGCAGCUAAUACCGCAUACGACCUGAGGGUGAAAGGGGGGGAUCGCAAGACCUCUCGCUAUUGGAGCGGCCGAUAUCAGAUUAGCUAGUUGGUGGGGUAAAGGCCUACCAAGGCAACGAUCUGUAGUUGGUCUGAGAGGACGACCAGCCACACUGGGACUGAGACACGGCCCAGACUCCUACGGGAGGCAGCAGUGGGGAAUUUUGGACAAUGGGCGCAAGCCUGAUCCAGCAAUGCCGCGUGCAGGAAGAAGG